AUUCGCUGAACCCUUUCUCUUCUCUCUCUAUUCGCUUUCGCUCAUUCACAUUCGAAACCCUUUUCUCCCUGUUCUCAGAUUCAUGCUACCGCAAAACCCUUUCUUUUUUCUGGCUUCCAAAUAAACUUAAAUGCUAGAUUUCGAUUAUCUUCUGCACUUGGGAUUGUUUUGUAACUUCAUUACAUCAAAUUAGAGGAGAAAAUGCUCAAUUAGGUUUUACUUGCUAUUUGUACAAUACUCUUUAUGAAUGGGGAUUCUGCACCUUUGAAUACACGACCCUGGAAGUGAGGAAGUGUAUGUUUGUUUUCCCGAUGAAGCACCACCGCUACCGCGCGUUCAAUAGAAGCUGGAAAGUGUAGCUUUACAUUAACAUGCCUUGGGAUGCGAUAAUGGUUCUUCACAAACUAAACAUGGUUGCACAAGCAGAGCUGAAGCAUGGGAAUGGAUAGCACUUUGAUGUCGGACGGACAGGGAACCUACACUAAUGUUUAUAAAGCUCUAGCUCCAGACACGAGAUAUCACAAGAGAUAUAAUGGCUCUAAGUUGUGAUGCUAUGGUACAUAGCUAACGAGUUGAUGAUAAGUUCACUAUGUUUUAUAGUUGUUUCUUAUGCAAUAGGUGUCGGAUGCAAAUUGUGGUAGUUAUUGUAAAAUCUUUAAAAUUAACUUAUGAUGUUAUUAAUUUCGUUAUUUUGUAUAUGGUUUAUUGAGUCUGGAGUAGCAUUUUCUGAAAUUUUCUUUUACAUUGUUUAUUAUUUUUUUAUUCAAAGGAGGUAAUAGGCAACGGUUUUAUCGUGUGGCUUAAACAAAAAACGUGGACUAAAAUUAAUUAAUAUAUUGUAGAAUAAUUAAUAGACAACGGUUAUAUAGGUGUAGCUAAAAUAAAACCGUAG